rnacentral:misc_RNA from 1 species
UAAUCUCACUACAACCGCCUUUUUUGUGGUUGCAUGUGGACUUGGAUGUUGCCGUGUCACAAAUGGCUCGUCUGAAAUGCUUGAGUGUACCCCUGCUUUGCGGCGUAUUCGGUGUGAUAAAUCUUCACUGGAGUUGACCCUCAGGGUCACGUCUGCUUGACAUGGCUCUAUGCUUCCAACUGUCCUGACAAGACAAUCUUUGACA